rnacentral:lncRNA from 1 species
AGAAGAAAACAACCUAUUUUAUCUUCUCCAAGUGGUGAGUUUUUUAAACAGGUUUUUGAAGGAGUUAUAUAUUCUUUGAGCCAAAUUUAAGAUUGUGACAUUUGACAAGGAUGUAGUGCGAGCAAAAAUAUAAUGUUUUGCUAGUUAUGUCAUUAUUUCAGGUUUUACAGUGCAAGAAUUUUACAACAAUUUUUUUAAUGAUUAUUUUAGCCAGCUAGGAAAGUCUAUGAAUAUC